rnacentral:lncRNA from 1 species
GGGAAGGGCUGAGUAAAAGGGCCAGUCCUUGACUCCAGAAAGAGCCCAAGUUCACGCUGGAGUGUGUCAAAGUCAGGCACUCAAGAAUGUGCUUCUCCACCCCACUACAGAGGCUCCCUGGUCAAGGACCUGCAAGCUGGCAGUGGGCACUGGGAGCACAAUGGUGAAGAAGACAAAACCCUCUGGAGGCCUCCAGACACAUCCAUUCGAUGUCCCCAUGAUUACCUCAAGUUCACCAUGUCCACACUAAGAAUGAACAUCUGUCUCCCAACCUUGCUCUUCUUCCUGUAUUUCCUAUCUCACAGACCUGCGUUACACUGACCACAGAAGUGUGUUAGACCCAUUCUCAUUCAACCCCACAUUUAAUCAUGAAGACCUGUUACUUCUAUGUCUUUAAUAUUUCU